UGCAUUGAAUGAGGUGUGUCCAAACUUUUGGCCUGUACUGUAUAAUGCAAACUUGUUCUUCUUCUGACAGCUUGAUGCCUUUGAGAGAGACUCUGUGUUUUACGCAACCUCUAGCAAGUACAUGAACCAAUCAAAUUUAACAUGGACCCACCGCUGGGAGAAAAAUGGGACAAGGUGUGCAAGCUGAAAGCCUUAAGACUGUGUGACAACCGUGAUAAAUGCAGCCGGCACUGACACGGCUACGGAAAAAGACAAAAGAUACCUUUGUCUUGUCACAAUAAUCCUAAUCUGUUUGAAGAUGGGGCCACAUUAGAGAGAACGAGAGAGAGAGAGGGGUAGGAAUGAUGCAGAUUUGUGGUCAGCAAUGAUAAAUGUUGCCACAUCAGAAACAGAGCUCAGUAUGAUGUUUCUCUCUAAUGGCCUGAUUGCUCAAUUAAUUCUGCGGCCCGUUCUUUGCCGGCCCCCUUUAAUGUGGAAACAGCUAUAUUUUCUCCCAGAUUAGUAUAGAUACAGGCUGACAGUCUGCACUGCUCAAGGUAUUUGGGAGGUAUAAUUCAUUCAUAAUGCCACAAUGUGCCCCAUCUAUCAUCUCAGGUUUUUCAUCCGCUAACUUGCCGCUUGCUCCCUACUCUCAUUCCAAGCUCUUGGC